UUGUGAGCGAAUUAAAAAAAUAUUUUAUAUUCAUUAAAAAAUUUCUGUAAAUUAUUUUGUGAGCUUCGCUGCCACCUCAGCCUCACCGCAGCUUCGACAUCGGCGGUGUUGGUGCCCUGCUUUGAUCGCACAGCCGGUCAACCAUGGAGACAUACCUACACAGAUCAACGCACUCUUCGCUCUUAAGCAUUUCAUCGGAUAGUUUAAUUCCGAUGAAUUGCAUUGACAUGAGAAUGCAGAUUCUGCAGCCAAUUGACACCCAUGACGAAGACAAGUAACCAUCCAAGGUCGAUGCGCUCUUGGUCAGCAUACGGAGCCAGCUCCUCUAAACAACGACAAAAAGAUUGGAAGUAUCGGUCGACUCCCAACCUUUGGAAGGUGUCGAUUAUACACAGAUAAGAGGGUAUAUCCGCUGCACGUUCAAAAGUGACCGGAAAAUGACUGUUUUCUCCCUUCAACUUCUCUGCUAUCUUCCCCAUCAAAUCCUCAAGAUUGCAUUUCACGGCGAAAGAUGACUUAUUGGUGAUCACCGGAGAUCCUUGGACUGUAGCAUGCUUCACUGGAAAAACCUCUCUGACUCUGCGGCCGGAGAAAGCCAUAACUGCCGGAUUGAAGGCGAGCGACAUGUU